rnacentral:rRNA from 1 species
GCAAGUUGUGCGGUGAUCUCAAGAAGUUUCGGACGGAAAGGGAGAGCAGCAGCGGACGGGUGAGUAAAGCACAAGGACUGUCCCGAAGAGGGGGACAACUGUGGGAAACCACAGCUAAUACCCAUAAGCCGAGAGGUGAAAGCAGUAAUGCGCUUUAGGAGAGACUUGUGUCCUAUCAGGUAGUUGGUGAGGUAACGGCUCACCAAGCCGAAGACGGGUAGCCGGACUGAGAGGUUGUACGGCCACAUUGGAACUGAGAGACGGUCCAGACUCCUACGGGAGGCAGCAGUGGGGAAUAUUGGGCAAUGGGGGGCCAACCCUGACCCAGCGACGCCGCGUGAGGGAAGACAGCCUUCGGGUUGUAAACCUCUGUUGCAGGGGAAGAAGAAAGUGACGGUACCCUGCGAGGAAGCUCCGGCAAACUACGUGCCAGCCGCCGC